rnacentral:rRNA from 1 species
GAUGAACGCUGGCGGCGUGCCUAAUACAUGCAAGUCGAGCGAACAGACGAGGAGCUUGCUCCUCUGACGUUAGCGGCGGACGGGUGAGUAACACGUGGAUAACCUACCUAUAAGACUGGGAUAACUUCGGGAAACCGGAGCUAAUACCGGAUAAUAUAUUGAACCGCAUGGUUCAAUAGUGAAAGACGGUUUUGCUGUCACUUAUAGAUGGAUCCGCGCCGCAUUAGCUAGUUGGUAAGGUAACGGCUUACCAAGGCAACGAUGCGUAGCCGACCUGAGAGGGGGGUCGGGCAGAAGGGGACGUAGAGACGGUACAGGGCAAAGCGGGAGGGAGAAGUGUGGGUGGUGGAGUAAAGGGCGAAGGAUUGAAAGAGUUAGUUAGCGGAAAAGAAGAAGUGCUUAAGAUAGUAAAACCCUGUUAAUGGAGAAAAACAAAAACGCAAGGACCAACUCAUGCCCAGAAGGGGCGGAAUCAGACAGAAAAGACAAGUCACAAC